rnacentral:rRNA from 1 species
AUCAACUUUCGAUGGUAGGAUAGAGGCCUACCAUGGUGGUAACGGGUAACGGGGUGUUAGGGCACGACACCGGAGAGGGAGCCUGAGAAACGGCUACCACAUCCAAGGAUGGCAGCAGGCGCGCAAAUUACCCAAUCCCGACACGGGGAGGUAGUGACAAUAAAUAACAAUACGGGGUUCUUUCGGAUCUCGUAAUUGGAAUGAGUACAAUUUAAAUCUCUUAACGAGGAACAAUUGGAGGGCAAGUCUGGUGCCAGCAGCCGCGGUAAUUCCAGCUCCAAUAGCGUAUAUUAAAGUUGUUGCAGUUAAAAAGCUCGUAGUUGAAUUUCGGGAUCAGAUUGUCGGUCGUGCCUCGGUACGCACUGGCAUUAUUGGUUCCUACCUUCUGAAGAACCGCGAUGUCAUUAAUUUGGUGUCGUGGGGAAUCAGGACUGUUACUUUGAAAAAAUUAGAGUGUUUAAAGCAGGCGCACGCUUGAAUACAUUAGCAUGGAAUAAUGAAAUAGGACGUUUGAUUCUAUUUUGUUGGUUUCUAGGAUCGACGUAAUGAUUAAUAGGGAUAGUUGGGGGCAUUAGUAUUCAAUUGUCAGAGGUGAAAUUCUUGGAUUUAUUGAAGACUAACUACUGCGAAAGCAUUUGCCAAGGAUGUUUUCAUUAAUCAAGAACGAAAGUUANGGGAUCGAANACGAUCAGAUACCGUCGUAGUCUUAACCAUAAACUAUGCCGACUAGGGAUCGGAUGAUGUUAAUUUUUUAAUGACUCAUUNCGCGCCUUACNGGAAACCAAAGUGUUUGGGUUC